AGAUAGCUCGAGAUUGAGACGUCUCAUCUGAAAAUUUUUGGUUCAGACAUUGGUAUCUGUCGAUUAAAACCUUCUGCAAAUGUGGGUAAUCUCACCAAUAUGAUUAUGAAAAACACUUUUUACAUAAAACAUAUAAUAUCGUACUACCAUAAUUUUUUUUUUUUUUUUUCCAAUUUCCGACUCAUUAUAAACAGAUACUGCGCUACACAGAUACUAUGUACUGAACUUACUUGUGUGUAGUAAUCCAUCAAUGAUAGUGACGAUUUUCGCGAAAAUGAUGUUGCGAAAUUUCAGUUGAAUAUCCAAAUCCUUGGUUACGUCCGGAUCCUGGGUGGUUUCCAUGAUGUUUUUUUUUCCUUUAGGACAACAACAUCUCUUGUUUGGGUUCUGUGUGCUUGGGUUUGCGUGUAAAUUAAUUUUAUGUCAGUCAUGGUUUAUUGUAACUUUCUAAAUGAUUUUUUUUUUUUUGCAGAAUUAUGUGUGUUUUCUUUUGUUUUUCUGUGGAAGACAAUUUGUUGCAAUGGCAUGUAUCCACAAUAACUAGCAUUCUUGGAGUUAAAUGCCUUUGUCAACUUUUUCAGGUACAGUUUAUUGGUGGUAUUGGUGGACAGGGCAUUUUUUCAUGUGUCAACGCAGUGCUCGGGAGAUUGAUGACAAAUUAUGCCGCAUCCCAAUACAGCUGGAGUGGGUUCAAAGGAAAGAAAACAUUUAAAAAUUUAAGGCUUUCGCAAGUUGUGCUACAUGUACGGUUACAUGUACCAGGGGCUACUGAAACUGAAGUGUCAGAGCAGAUACAAGCUUGGUUGAAGCAUGCCAAAACAAGACUUGUCAGAACAUCACAGUAAGAUUAUAUUUAUAUCCCAUAUAUUAUCAUCAUCAUCAGCGCCACCUGAAAAUGGUAAAACUUGCCAAUGUUGGUGUGAAAAUAGGAAAAGCAUUGCAAAAAAUUGGUGUAAAAGCUGAAUAAGCUAUCGCUAUAGCGAAGAUGAGCCCACGGUGCAUUCAUUAUUUACGAAUUUUUUUCCUACACAAUCUAUGGGAAAAUGGUGGUGCCGAUGAUAAUUAUCGUUAUAGCGGAUUUCAUGUUAUAGACCGUACUCGCUAUGACAGACUGUUACUGUACUUAUGUGUUUCCAAGUUCUAUUAGUUACAUACCACGACAAUAAAUUGACAUUUUAUGAUUAUAGUGCUUCUGCUUGGAUAGUAUAACAUUGGUUCCAUGUUAAAGCAGUGUACUGGGAUUACGCAGGGAAUGUGGGAAAUGUACUGGAAAUGUACAGGAAAUUAAAAGGACACCUUUGCUGGACACCCUGAAUGUAGCUUACAAAGCAUAUGGAAUGAAUAACUUACUUUUCAGCUGCACUUGUACAAGAAAUGGCCAUUUUACUCUGCAAAAGCACAAGCUAUCACAAAAUAUUCUUGUCACAGUAGGGAGUUCCAGGGCCACCAAGUGCUCCACGAUGAAUUCCGUAGAUAACUAUCACUUUACAGUUAGUUAUUUUGGUGGCCAUUUUGAAAUACAAAAUAAUUGCAAUCCAGGGGACAAUCAGAAUCCCUUGCAUAGUGUACAAAAUAAAGCUUUUGUGAAACGUUUCUGUCCGUCUGUAAGAUCUAGUGAAUGACUGAAAGGAAGUAUCUAGAUUAGAGUUAUACUCAAACUAGGACUGGUGUUGUUACUGUAGGAAGCAUGGAACUGUUUUUUACUGAGGAAAAAUAAUAUUGACGUAGAUAACCGAAAAAAUAAUUUAAAGUAGGCAUCUGCGAGAACUCAAAUUUUUGAGCCGAGUCACGCUUGAAUUAAAAACUGGAGCUUGAAAUAUCCAAGGCUAAAAAAAAAAUUGAACUUAUGAGUUUUUAUUUGUACCAUAAUAAGCACAACUGCUUAGUGAUGCUGCAUUUUAUUUAAUGUAAAUUUUGUAUAAAAAUAAGCUUCAUUCAAAACUUGUGACCUUUCUGGAAAACUUGCUCUAACUCAGCUUCAGUUCAAAAACCUGUUCUUGCAGAUCCCUAAUUUAAAGAAAAAUAUUAUCUUGUGUCUAGUCCUUAAUGGUAUCGGCACAUAGUAUCGCCAGAAUUGGCCCAUAAGAAUCUGUAGUAAUGGAAUUGAUCAAAAGUUGUAUCAGUCCAGCCCUACUAUUUUGUUACAGUAGAACCUCGUUUUUACAUAUUUCAAGGGACCAAGAAAAAAUAAUUAAAAAUCAGGAGAAACGUAAAAGGAGAGAAGUGUUUGAAAAUUUGUUUUAUUCUUACUAUGGUGGAAACAAGCAAAUACACACAACACCAAAUAAAAAAGAGAAGAUUACAUUUUUACUAUAACAAUUAUCUCACAUGGUGAAAACAAUAAAUCCACCCAAACUUGCAGUAAUUCACGAUUAAUGUUUAUUUAAAGUUGAAGAUUAAAAUUUUGGUUAUUGAAGAAAGGAUGUGAAUGUUGAGCAUCUUAAAACGUCUACUAUUAAUGGUGAGAUUUUAUCACACAAUUCUUAUUUCUGACUUUGUGUAUAAUCGCUUGUUAAUAUUGCUUUAAUUUCAGAAAUUUUAUAGCAAACAUUUGUUCUAAAAUAACACGGCUACAGAACAUAAAAGGUUAAAAAAAACUUUUCAGAUGUAAUGUUUGGAAAUUCAGUGCUGCCAAUCGUCUUUCUGCAAUAUUUCUUAUGUGGUAAACCGAAAAUUGCCGAACAUGCACGAAGUUGCCAUAUUUACAAGAAUUUUGUAUGUUGCUUUUAAAGUUGUUAGUGGUACCACCGUAGUACAAUAUUUAUUUAAUUAAAAACUCCACUAUGCAACUUAAUUCUUAAGCAUUAUUCAUUACAGUUCAAAAGGGAGAGAUAAAAUAUCAACUUAAUUGUCACGUUCACGUCACCAAAGAUUUGUUUACAAUGGGUAAAGAAGCUGCCAUGACCUCAAAACAUGCAAUCAUGUAUAAUAAGUAAAGUUUACUCUAUUCGCUUUCAACUUUUAUCGUUCCAUCACAACUUUUCUGACGAUUUUCAAUUAAAUACAGCACUGUUACAACGUAAAUUGAAGGAAACACUUUUGUUUAACACGGGAAAAUAAUGCAUUAAUACUGUAGGGAAAAUGACGGUGCAAGUGAAAAAAUACGUUAAUCACGGGAAUUCGUUGAUCCCGGGUUUGUACAAAUGAGGUUCUAUUGUACUUUUAUCAAUUGUUCAGGCAAGCGACAGGGAUAGGUACAUCCAGCAUAUCAAUUAAGAGAGCAUAUUUUUUGAAAAGUUUUCGGAACUGUUUCACUUUGUGUACUGAAGGAAAUGUGAUGGGCCAUCACUGUCUCUAGUAAUGAUCAUAACGAUGGAAGCUGCUAACGGCUAGGGUUUUCUUUUCAAAAGUUGGAUUUCAAAAAGUCUUUCCAGUGGUGAACGGACUAUACUUUUAAUACAGCAAAAAACCCGCUGUAAGCAUGUACAUAUUUUGUUUAACACUGCAGUGUUUUGCAACAAUAAGGAAUAAAUAACUUUUUAACUGUGAA